rnacentral:rRNA from 1 species
ACUCAAAUGAAUAGACGGGGGCCCGCACAAGCGGCGGAGCAUGCGGAUUAAUUCGAUGCAACGCGAAGAACCUUACCAAGGCUUGACAUGGGGCGUUUACCGGCAGAGAUGUCGGGUCCGCAAGGGCGCUUCACAGGUGGUGCAUGGUUGUCGUCAGCUCGUGUCGUGAGAUGUUGGGUUAAGUCCCGCAACGAGCGCAACCCUCGUUCCAUGUUGCCAGCACGUUAUGGUGGGGACUCAUGGGAGACUGCCGGGGUCAACUCGGAGGAAGGUGGGGAUGACGUCAAAUCAUCAUGCCCCUUAUGUCUUGGGCUUCACGCAUGCUACAAUGGCCAGUACAAAGGGCUGCGAGACCGUAAGGUGGAGCGAAUCCCAAAAAGCUGGUCUCAGUUCGGAUCGGGGUCUGCAACUCGACCCCGUGAAGUCGGAGUCGCUAGUAAUCGCAGAUCAGCAACGCUGCGGUGAAUACGUUCCCGGGCCUUGUACACACCGCCCGU